rnacentral:rRNA from 1 species
AUUGAACGCUGGCGGCAGGCUUAACACAUGCAAGUCGAGCGGAGCGAUGGUGCUUGCACUAUUACUUAGCGGCGGACGGGUGAGUAAUGCUUAGGAAUCUGCCAUUUAGUGGGGGACAACAUUCCUAAAGGAAUGCUAAUACCGCAUACGUCCUACGGGAGAAAGCAGGGGAUCUUCGGACCUUGCGCUAAAUGAUGAGCCUAAGUCGGAUUAGCUAGUUGGUGGGGUAAAGGCCUACCAAGGCGACGAUCUGUAGCGGGUCUGAGAGGAUGAUCCGCCACACUGGGACUGAGACACGGCCCAGACUCCUACGGGAGGCAGCAGUGGGGAAUAUUGGACAAUGGGCGGAAGCCUGAUCCAGCCAUGCCGCGUGUGUGAAGAAGGCCUUUUGGUUGUAAAGCACUUUAAGCGAGGAGGAGGCUCUCCUAGUUAAUACCUAGGAAGAGUGGACGUUACUCGCAGAAUAAGCACCGGCUAACUCUGUGCCAGCCGCCGCGGUAACAC